rnacentral:sRNA from 12 species
UUCAUUGUUUAUCGGAAACUUUAAACUAUAACCAUUCAAACUUUUCCAGAAGUUAGUUUGAAUAGAAAUUAAAAAGAAACUUCUG